UACGUAGGUGACUAGCGUUGUCCGGAUUUACUGGGCGUAAAGAGCGCGCAGGCGGUCGUUCAAGUCGAGUGUGAAAGCCCCCGGCUCAACUGGGGAGGGUCAUUCGAUACUGAUCGACUCGAAGGCAGGAGAGGGAAGCGGAAUUCCCGGUGUAGUGGUGAAAUGCGUAGAUAUCAAGAGGAACACCUGCGGCGAAGGCGGGUUGCUGGGCCGACACUGACGCUGAGGCGCGAAAGCUAGGGGAGCGAACGGG
rnacentral:rRNA from 1 species